GCUUAGUCAGCUCAAGCAUGAAACCUGGUGAGCCGCGAUGCGCAAAAGGUUGGGAUGCCUGGCACAGGAUGCCAGCUAGUCGAUGUCUUUAGAAUGCCCCUGCUGUCUCUCCCGGGGCUAAAUCCUAUUCCACCGUGAGCCUUCCUUGACCAGCAGAGAAUAGAAGCGCCUGGUACAUACAGGCCACCAAAGGUAUCUGUUGAACAGACAUGCACACGGCUUCUGCCGUGGGCCAGGAGGGCCCACUCAGGAGCCUGGGUACUUUCCCUCCAUAGGCCAUGUAUUCCUGUGAACAGAUGAAUAGGGCAGAUGCUGCUUUUAUCCCUAUUUUACAGGUGAUAAAGCUGAGGCUCAGAGGGGCUUAGAGACUUGGCUAAGCUCAACAAGCUGCUGGGAAGUAGUAGAGCUGUGAUUCAAAUCCAGGCAUUCUGGCUCCAGGACCAUGCCCUUAGCUGCUGUCUCUUCAUGCGCCAACCUUUGUGAUGCUGUAUUUGUUUGUAGUAUAUGACUAUUGUGACCUCUGUGGGGGCACUUAGCACAAGGCCUGGUCCUUGGUAGGUGCUCAAUACAUAUUGUUUAAAUGAAUGAAUGAAAGCAAUUAUUGUUCCUUUAGAUGAUCAAAAUUUCCACUCCACCCUAAGUUCCCCUUUCAUGGAAUGAAGGGAUACGAGGCUAGGGAAAGUCAGCUUGGGACACUGAUGGAUUCUCAGAGGGCAGAGCUUGGCCUUCUUGGCCUGCCAGUGGGCAGAGAGACCCUCCCUACCCGAGGGGGCCAGGGAAGGCUUUGCUAUGGCAGCGACAUUGAGAUAGGGUUUUGAAGGAUGAGUGGGAGUUCACUGAAUCUCAGAAGUGCAGCCUGAUGGAAUCUGGGGUUGGAAGCAGCACAUGUAGUGAAGGGUCAGUCUCAUCUUCAAACGACCUCCCCAUCAUUUAGGCUGGAGGUACAAAGCAGGACUAUAGGAACAUAUACAGAUGGCUGUGAACCCGUGACAUGGCCAAAGGUUUCCUCUCAUCCCUUUUGCUGAAUCAUUUAGUGCUGUUCAAAGACAAGGCGGUUAAGCCUUGUUCCCUUCGAUGUCUCUCACUUGGAAUGGAUGCUUCUGGCUGCCAGCUGCUCUCCUCCUCUGUGGCUGGAAGCAUUUUGGGUUUCUGGGGGUCUUCUCUGAGACUGCAGUUAUCCUAGGCAUGAAGCAAACAUGAGCAUCACUGUCUGCUGACCUCUUAACUGUGGGCUGCAGAUGAGCAGAUGGGGCAGGGGCACAGGGAGCAGGGUGUGGCUCCAGAGAGGAGCUGGAGAUCUGGGUAGGGUGGGGACAGGUGGGUGGCCUGCGACACAGGCUAGCUGGCAAGCACCACAGUCCCAUGGCCACAGGAAGGACAUGUGAUGUCAGCUGGCACAAUCUGGGGACCAGAACCAGGAGACAGAUAUCAAUUCUGAACGGACUUCUUUCAACACCUGGAUCCACCUAGCCCCAGAGUCCUGCACUUCACAAUGACUCAAAAUCCUCCUGUGCUGUGAAGCCAAUUUAGGACGGGUUUCUGACUCUGGCUACAGGAGGUUCCAGGGCAGAGGAGAGUUGGCUUGGUUCAGGGACCAGAGUGAGGCCUGCAACCUCUCCCAUGGUUGUGCCCAGAGGAAGAAAGACCAUGCAGGCUCAGAAACACUCCCGGAUGUCCCUGGCUACUAUGCAGAGGAGGGGCAGAGCUGAGUAGUUUUAGAGACUAAGGUUGAAGAGAAAGCACACAUGCAUUCCCUUUAUGCAAAAACACAUGACAGAUUUGCACUGGGACCUGCAGGAACCACAGGCUCAGGCCCACAGACACAAGACAGAAGAGCACACACACACACACACACACACACACACACACACACACUUCAAAUGGUUUAAACUUGUGCUGCAAAAAAAGUACACGCCCUUUGACCUAAAAAUUCCGUUUCUGGGAAGCUAUUCUUAGGAGAGAACUAAGGAUGUGUACCAAGACUCAGAUGCAAGGAAUAUCCCUGCAGUGCUGUUUGUAAUAAUAAAAAGCUGGCAACAAUCUAGAUUCUAAUAAGGGGUGCUGAAGUCCGCUGUCGUUGGAGGGCACAGUGGCAUGCUAUUCAGCCCUCAAGAGGAAGUACGGAGCUGUUUACACAGAAGAUGAGUGUCAUUUAUUGUUGAGUGCAACAAAAAGCAGCUUGAAAAAUAAUCUGAAUGGUAUGAGCCCAUUUGGGUAAGAUAGAAGUCAGAAGCAGCUUGGAAGAGGGGCUGAAAAAUUUGCUCGGUUGCGGGGGUAAUCAUGGUUGUUUC
rnacentral:lncRNA from 1 species